AAGACCUUAAGUUAACUAAACUAAAGGCCUUCAAAGCCUUAAAUGAAAAUUAAAUUCAGGUCUUG
rnacentral:tRNA from 1 species